UACGGGGGGAGCAAGCGUUGUUCGGAUUCAUUGGGCGUAAAGGGCGCGUAGGCGGCCACCGCAAGUCGACUGUGAAAUCUCCGGGCUUAACUCGGAAAGGUCAGCCGAUACUGCGGGGCUAGAGUACGGAAGAGGCGAGUGGAAUUCCUGGUGUAGCGGUGAAAUGCGCAGAUAUCAGGAGGAACACCAAUUGCGAAGGCAGCUCGCUGGGACGUAACUGACGCUGAGACGCGAAAGCGUGGGGAGCAAACAGG
rnacentral:rRNA from 1 species